CGGUUUAAGAAAGUUUGAGUGCAAAUCGAACGGUGGGUCUAAGAUGGCCCUUAAGCCU
rnacentral:tRNA from 2 species